UUGUUAGUUGAAGCUGUUGUGCAAGAAAGUUCUGGGCCAGACAUUUCUCCUGCUCGCCAGCAAAGGAACUGGGCCGGAGCUCAAGACUUGACUAACAGCACCUUUGAAACGGAGCAGAUGUGAAGUCAAGAGGUCUGAAUAUUCCCAAGGAACUUCCAAUACACAUCCAGUGUAAGGAGGAUGUGUAUCCGUCUUACACUGGAUGAUACACAUCAUCCUUACACUGGAGGAUACACAUCCUCCAGUGUAAGACGGAGCCAGAAAGGCUACGUAAAUGGAGGAAGCAACGCCAUUGGUCGAGGCUUCCCAAUACACACCAGUAGAGCUGGACUCUAUAAAAAACUGAUGUCAGAAGUAGAAGGCAAGAGAUUUUGGAUUUCUGUAACGAUGUGUAUGUGAUGUUUUGUGGUUCAGCAGAUGUGUAUUAAAUCUUUUCUCGAUCGACUUUGA